AGAGAAUUGGGAUAGACUGCGUAGAAAUUGGGACAAAACCAAAAGCGAUAUAUUCUUUCAUUUCAUCAUUCUGUGUUUUGCCACGGGAACAGGUUUGGUGCUUAAUUAUAAGUUCUCAGAUUGGACAGUUUCUGCUGGAUCCGGGCUGAUUUCAUUUGCCGUUCUGGAAGCCAUCGGUAUAUAUUUUGAUUUCGUUAACAGAGUCCGUAGAAUUAUACGAGCCGCCCUAGGAGUCAUUUUUCAAUUCUUUCCACGUUUGGGCAGAAACACACCG